rnacentral:lncRNA from 1 species
GAUCAUAAAACUAAUAUUAAAAGUAUAUUGAAAUAAAAGCUCCUUAAAUUAAAAGAAACAUAACUAAAGUGAAACAACAUAAAAGUCUAACUGAGAAAUAUUACUUCUAAACUAGGACUAAGAAGUGGAGGAAUGCAGUGACACUUCACUUGCAAUUAGUCUCGAUCCAAUAAUUAGCUUCAUAUACCUGUAUAAAAAAAUGCAGUGACACUUCACUUGCACUUAGUCUUGAUUCAAUAGUUAGCUUCAUAUGCCUAUAUAAAAGAUAGAGAAAAAAUUAAGAAUUAAGCUAAUACUUUAUGGUAUCAUGGUAUAUAUAAAAUAUAAUUGGUAUAAACUACAACUUCUUGUCAGAUGUAGAGUUUAAUUGGUGAAACAAUAAAAUGAAUUGUGAUACAAAUAAACAAAAAAGAGAAAAAAAUUAAAUAGUGUGUAAUUUAGUGUACCCAAAAUUGAUAAUCUGAUGGAGCUCAAUCUUCACUGUGGCAUUAAAAAAACAAUCGAACUUAGAUACUAAAAGAAUAAUAAUGCAGUUCAAAAUGGCAAGAAAUGGACAUAGUCGAAAGAGAGAAACAAGACUGUCACAUGAAAGAAGUGGCAAAACAAAUAAAAAUAUAGAAGAGAAGCUCAGAAUGUUUAAAAGAAAUGGGCUUCAAGCAGAUUGACCCUCUAAUCAACUGCAAUAACAACUGACCCGACCCGUAGUCUUAUGUGUUACUGCUCCAUUUUUCCCUUAUGGUUUUGCUUCAUGUUUCAAUAUCAGUAUUAGAGUCGAUCGGCUGUAAUUGAAUUGUUUUGAUAGAAAAUAAGGCACAUAGCCUCUUAGAAGGAAGCUUGUUUUGGAAAAGUCAACUAGAAGUUGACUUGUGAGUUAGAAGUCUCGGAUGUGAUUUCCGAUUUUUCAGUUAGCUCGGGAGAUGGUUUGUGACUUGGAGAUCGAUCGGAAUUGAAUUUGGAGGUCCGGUGUAGAAUUAGGCUUGAAUUAGCAAAGUUUGAAUUUUGGCGGAUUCCUGUUGAUAGGUGAGAUUUUGAUCCAAGGGUUGGAAUGGAAUUCCGAGAGUUGCAGUAGCUUUGUUAGGUGAUUUUGGAUAUGUUCACAAAUUUUCAGGUCAUUCGGACAUCGUUUGGUUGGGUUUUUUAUUGUAUGCACAUUUUGGAAGUUCUUAAGAAAUUUAGGCUUGGAUUUGAGGAAUUUGGUGAUUUUUUAUGUUAAUGAUANNNNNNNNNNNNNNNNNNNNNNNNNNNNNNNNNNNNNNNNNNNNNNNNNNNNNNNNNNNNNNNNNNNNNNNNNNNNNNNNNNNNNNNNNNNNNNNNNNNNNNNNNNNNNNNNNNNNNNNNNNNNNNNNNNNNNNNNNNNNNNNNNNNNNNNNNNNNNNNNNNNNNNGCUGCUUUUGGUUGAGGUCUCGGGGGCCUCGGGGUGAUUUCGGAUGGUUGAACGGAGGUUGUAGGAGAUUAUGCAUGUUUUUGUAUUGCUGCUUCUGCUAUUUUCAAGACUGAUGGACCGCAUAAGUGGCCAAGGGUGAAUGACUGGGACCACAUGAGCGGUUUGGAAACCGCGGAAGCUGUCAACGCGGAAGCGGUCAAGGACCGCAAAAGUGGUCGAUGGGAUUUCAAGCUGGACCGCAGAAGCGGUCAAAUUGACGCGUUAGCAGUGUCCGCGGUAGUGGUCAGUGGACCGCGUAAGCGGAAGUCGAGCUGGUCUGAAGGGUUUUUACAUAAUAUUUCAUCCGCGAGCCUAUAUUUUUCCUCCAUUGCUGAGCGAUUUUGGAGCUUGGGAGAGCAAAUUGAGAAGGGAUUUAAAGAGGAAUGAUCGGAGGUAAGAUCUUUGAACUUAAAACUCCUUUUUAUUGAGAAAUCUACCUAGAGAUUCAUGGGAAUAAGCCAAAAAUUGAAUAAAUUAGGGCUUGAGUUUUUGAUAUUCGAAUUGGGAUUUGGUAGGUCAUCUGAGCUCGGAUUUGGGAGUUCUUGGUAUAUAUGAACUCAUGGCGAGACGAGGAUUCCGGAAAUAUAAGUUUUGUAAUUUUUGAAGAAGCGGGCCCGAGGCUCGGGUUUUGCUAGUUUCGAAGUUCUUGCUAUAAUUCAAUUGUUUUCGAUUGGUAUUGUCCCAUUUGCAUAUUGUGGUUUAUUCGCUCUAUUUUUUGCUAGAUUCGACGCGCGUGGAGGCCGAUUUUAGGGGCAAAGGAAUCGCGAGCUUGAGAUUUCGCCGGUUCAAGGUGAGUAAUAUUUGGGAAUGAUAUCCUGAGGGUUUGAAACCCUGAAUUUGCACAUCCUAGUGCUCUAUUGUGGUGACUUGCACACUGGACUUGAGCGUGGGGAAGAGCACCGUUGGAAUUGUUACUUGGUCCGUCCCGGUUGUUGGUUUUUACCACUAAAUUGUAAAUGUUUUGUUGUUAUCAUUAUGCUUGGGCUCAUUGCCAUACGUGGGGCUUAUUGCCUAUUAUUUGAAACCUGUUAAAUUUGUAAAUGUUUUGUUGUUAUCAUUAUGAUUUGGGCUCAUUGCCAUACUUGGGUCUUAUUACUGAUUAUAAUUCUUUAUGAACUAUCAUCACAGUUUUCCUUACUAUUUGAAAGAUCAUUUGAACUCAGUCCAAGUGAUUUAUACUGUUUCAUGAACUCGGCUAUAUUUUUCUCAAACUUGGAGAUUUAACUUGUAUUUGAACAACUUUUUGAGCUGAGUAUUAUCGUUACGGAUGCCCGAGGGGCUUUUGACUAUUUUGGACUGAUUGAGAUUGAGGGCCAUAUGUGAGGGUAUGAAGAUUGUGUAAGGAGGCUUUUAGGCCUCAAGUGUUGUGUGAGCAUGUGCAUAUUGUAUGGAUCGGACUGCACACCGCAGUAACAUAUUGCAUGGAUCGGGCUGCACGCUGCAACAUUAUAUAUAUUAUUUCUUGAAAACGGUGGUAACUAUUGACACCGUGUAUUGUAAUAGAAACAGUGGUAAGUAUUAGCACUGUAUAAUAUUGCGCUUGGGCUGAAGGAGCCCUUCCGGAGUCUGUACACACCCCCAGUGAGCGCCGCCGACAUUAAAUCAUAUGCAUGGUUGGCUCGGGCUGCACGCCGCAACGUAUUCAUGUGCAUUGCAUUGUAUUCAUGCAUUUACUCCUGUUUGUACUACGUGGCACGACAUUUAGCACUCAUAUAUCAUUGGCGUACAUACUAUUACUUGCCUUGUUGACCAGAUACCCUGGUGUUAUAUGUUAAAGAGUGUUGAGCCCAAGAGGCUGAUGUUGGAUAUUGUGAGUUGAUAUUGAGCCCAAGGGGCAGGUUUCUGACUAUUUCCUACUUGUUGAAAUUACCUUUGCAAUCAUUUAAAAAGGCAUAUUUUCAAAAGAGAUUUUUGAACUGAACUUGGGAUUUUUUGAAGGGAUUUUCACAGUAUUUCGGUUUUCAAAUUGUUGAAAAAGCAUAUUUUAAAAAGAGAUUUUUAAAUUGAACUUGGGAUUUUCUAAAGGGAUUUUCACAGUAUAUCGGUUUUCUCAAAAAUGGUUGUUCUGUCUUUAUAGCAGUUAGGUGUGCUCAUAUGUGUUUUCUUAUCGCUCUGAUAUUAUUCUCUCUUAUUAUCACUGAGUUGGAAGUACUCACUCUACUCCCUGCACCUUGCGUGCAGUUGCAGGUAUUGUUCACCCGGUAGCGGGUUAUUAGUAGGACCGAAGGCCAUAUUUUGGUAGUUGAGCAAGGUGACAGCCAACGUUCGCGGCACCGUAUUCCGACUUUGAGUUCCAGUUUUACCUUGUACUUCUGGUAGUUGAGCAAGGUGACCGCCAGCGUUCGCGGCACCACACUCCAUCCUUGUAUCCCGGUUUGCCUUGUAUAUUUAUACAUGUUUGGUCCAGUAGUGGUAGUGUCCCUACUCUUUAGAUGCUCGUGACUUGUGACACCUCAGUCGUGUUGUAUUGUGAGGAAAUUUCCAUUAAUUUAUGUUUAAUAGCUAUUUCAAAGAGGAUUUUGGGUUGUUGGUUGGCCUUGUAUUUACGAGAGGCACCAUCACGACCGGGUAUAAAAUUUGGGUCAUGACACAACUCAACACUGCAAACCUUACAUGACAAGCAACUUCCUUGAGUUCUCUACAAGUAAUUGGGCUAUACAGCCUACAUGAUUGUAUUACCAUGCUCUGGUAAAAACUGAGCUCACCAGGGAGUGGAAGCCAAAGGACCCCUGGAACAAAAGUUCCUAGAAUUUCAUUUUACUCGUCUUUGAGGUUUGGGAAGCAGAAAUACUGAGAAUGUCUAGUAAAUUUUUCAAGUCAAUGUGAUCUUGGACAUCUUAAGACACAAAUUCUUCUUGUACUUCUACCUGCUUGAGGUUUGUAAGCACAACAAAGGAAAAUAAAUUUAGAUAGCUACAGAGAGAAGCAUACAUGGGAUUUCAUUAUUUUAGGUACAAAGCUCAGACUCAGCUAACGCUAAGAAGACAUCAACAAAAAGAAUAACAACCAAUAUAACUGAUGUUACCAUCACUCUUACUUGAUUACUACUUUCGGAAACAUUAUCAGUAGGCUCUAAAGAUAAAAUUCUCCAACCAUCUAAAUGACAUUUUCUCCUACCACACUUUUGCACUCCCUUUUCUCUGUACUCCUCCAUAUACACAUAACAAGCACUAGUAUAACUAUGUUUCAAAGAUUACCAUUCAAAUAUGCUUUAUGUCUUAUCCUUUAUAUCUGUUUCAUGGACUAUCUAAAGAAUCUUACUUCUUAUGGCUUUAAAUUGUAUAACUCUUCAUGCUACCACCAGAAAAAGUAUUCAGGGAAAACCUUGCAACUCCUAUGGAAUUGGUCAAGAAACAUGAAGAUCAAGCUGGGCACAAAAGUCAGGAGAAAGUGUUGUGAUCAAAUCCCUUGGGAGAUGAUCAUAGUACUGAUGCUUUUAACUAACAGUGUGUUAUUUUUGCAGGAAAGUUACUGUAUUCAUGUCUCAUCUUAUACUAAACUAUUCAAGGGUGGUAUUAGCACAUUGUGCUCAUUCCCUGGAUGGAAUAGCAGAGAUGAGAACAAGCAUGUAAGAUUGGAGAAAUUAUACUUGACUAAUAACCAAUUUCUGUAGGACUAAUAUGCACAGGAGGAUAUUAUGUAGUAAUGUAGGAUGGUUGGUUUUCGAUGCAAGCAAGCAAGGAGACUUUCUAAAGUAUACAAGAACAAUGGUUUGGUAGGGUGUUUCAUACCUACAACCAAAAAAUAAAUGAACUCAUACGGGGGGUGAGACAAGGAUGCAAAAAGCAGGAUAUUCAAUUGCAGAUCAUCAAAUCCAAGAGGAGGAGAUGGUGAUCAGCAAUUACGAUACUAUGUGGUAUUUGAUGAAGGAGAAGUCAGAAAUUAUUCCUCCUAUUUGCUACAACUUCAAAGGGUGGUAUUAGCACUUUGUGCUCAUUCCCUUGAAGUUGUAACAAUAGGAGGCAAAUGAAUGGACACAUUGACAGUACAAGAAAAACUGGGGUUGACAGUGCAAGAUAAACUGGUAUUAAUAAUGCAUAGGAAGUACAAAUCAAAGGAGCAAAUAUGUAUAAAAAUGAUAACCAGCUCACUAAGGUCACCAAACUACCAAAUGGAGAUCACAACAACAAGAUGAAAAAUGCAACAGAAAUAGUGGACAUGCGCUAGAUUGGACAGGAAUUUCAAACUCAAUGAAUGCAAAGUGAAGCAUAAGUGUAAUACAAAAUACUAGCAGGACAUACCAGGAAGGAAUUCAGGAAGCAAAAAUACAAAAAGUUGAAAUAGAUAUUGGCCGCAAAGGAAAUAGACCACAACACAUAGUAGGACUCAAAUAUGAAGACUGGACUACUACAAGUAAAUUCAUGAAAUGCAUACAAUCAUGGGAAAACAUACAUAUAAUCUGGGCAAAUCAAGUGUUUCUACAGCAGCAAGAAGGGAAUCAACAAGCCAAAACAAUCACAAUGGAUAUGAUCGUACAAGCCAAAAGUGGCUAUGGAUGCAAAAUGGAUCCACAUUGGUUCAGAAGGCUUCAAAGGCUAAUACUUAGCAUAUGUAAUAAUGCUAGAUUUCAGUAUAAUUUUAGGAUAGUAGUAGCUUGCAAAGUUUAUUUGUUACAUUUUGUAAGACCUCAGAUGCAAAAUGCACGCACAUUGGUUCAGAAGGCUUCAAAGGCUAAUACUGAGCAUAUGUAAUAAUGCUAGAUUUCAGUAUGAUUUUAGGAUAGUAGAAGCUUGCAAAGUUUAUUUGUUACAUUUUGUAAGACCUCCAAACAUGUUUGCUUUUAUUUUUAGAUAUUUAUAAAAUAGCCAUAGGCACACUGCCUAGUGGAUUUUGCUAAAAAAAGAAUUAUAAUUAAAUUUAUCAUUUAAAGGUGUAGUACUUCUAACCUUGAUGGUGAUGAGCCAAUAAAAUGACGCUUCAUUUCGCUAAAAAAAAAAAAAAGAAUUAUAAUUGAAUUUAUCUUUUGAAGAUGUAGUACUUAUAACCUUGAUAGUGAUGAGCCAAUAAAAUGACGCAUCAUUUCGCUUAAUAUUUUCUCUUGGCGUGCCCUUAAAGUACCCAACUCAUAAGUUAAUGUUUGUAUCUGUAUCCGCUGAUCUGCUACCUCAGUUUCAGCUACAUUCAAAUGUUCUUGUAAACCAUGUUGAACAGUAGCAGCAUCCUCUUUUGCCCUCCUAAGAGCGUCCUCUAAUUUUGUUGUCCUUCUUUUUGUUGUUGUAGUUGUAUUAGGCUUUGGACCAUAGCCUAGGCCUUUAAUAUAUCCUGACCUUGUACCAAGUACAUUGCCAAUCAUUUCAUCAAUAGUCAUUGGAUUCUCUUCAGAAAUAGAGAGAGCUCUCAAAUCUCUCAUUUUGUUCUACAUAAAAUAUUACAUCAGUUAAAUUAAUUAUAAGAUAGAAUGAAUACAUGUGACAUGUUACUAAAAUAUUACUUACGUAGUUAGUCUCAGCCUCUAGAGAUGACCUUCCUUUUUCACUCGAGUAAUGAGUGCUUUUGAAGAACUCAAUCCUAUUAGGCUCUACUCCUUCAUGUUCCUUCACACCCUGCACAAUAUGAAAAUUUCAUACACAGUGGACAAUUUAUUUGUGAAAUGUAGAAGCCCAUAAAAGUGACAGUUCAGAGCAUUAAGUUGAGUACUAUAUGAUGGGAACAAGUUCUUAUUUCCUGAUUCUAAUAUCUUCACGAAAGAAUGUGACGCCUUCUAGUUAUUUAAACUUUAGUAACACAUUCAAAACAACAAAAAAAUUUUUGGCAAUAACACACCAGCGGACCAAUAAUGGUUAUACUAUGUUUGAUUGUUCUUACCGUCAUCUAGGUGGUUAAAAAGCAAAUGCUGCUUUACAGUUCUAGUUCUAUUUUUACAUGGUAUCCAUCUCCUACAGCCAACUGGAACAAUAUCUUAUGAAAAUCAACAUUUUCCCAUUCUCCCUCCGCAACAUAAAUAUGGACGAACUAUAUGAAGCUAAAGAGAAAGCUGGAAACAUAAGAACCAAUCACGAGAUUGAGAUCCAAAACACUACAAUGAACCAGUUAAGGGAAAGACAAGUAACAUGGUACUUUGGCAUGCACCUAGCAGGCAAUAUGAUUCUAUUUGGGCCUACAUAUCAACUCAAAAAUGUAGAUGGACACAGCAGGAAGAAAGUCACAUGAGAAAUGUAUCAAAAAUUGCUAGUAGAAAUGAAGGAAUAGUAUAGAGGAGAGUACAGUUACGGACAGCAAUAGUGAAGCAGGUGGAUCACGAGUUCAAUUGCAGAUGGUAUGCAACAAGAUGGAAACAACCAAAGGCAGUACAACAUCAAGGCAAGGAGAGCAUUAUCAGCAGCACAAUAACAGUGAUAUAUGUGCAUAUUCACAAGGCGUACGAUGGCAAUCAACGGCUAGUCUUUAUGCAACAUUGGACAUACCAUGUGAUACCAACGUUGAGCUCAUUGCUUAACAUUGGUAAUAGGAGGAAUGUACUUAUCAAAUUCUACGACUUUCGUAGCAUUAGACCUCCUGACAAUGUAUUUCGUUUUUUUAGUCUCUAUAUAAAUAAAAACUAGCCCUAGGCACAUCGCCUAGUGGAUUGCUUUAAAAAAUAUGAAAAAAUAUAAAAAAAAAUACAUGCACCAGAUUUAAAAGAAGCUGUGUCUGACAAAGAUUGAGCCUAGUGAAGAAAUAUUUACCAAUUUCAACAAAAAUAUAAAUUACCCUACAGAAUAUUCACCUUAAAACACUUUGGUUCAGUUCAUCUAAGUUUAAAUUGCCAAUAGCCUAUCAAACAAAUUCCUAAGGGCCACCAAAAAGCAUGAUUUGACUCAAACAGAAGCUUUAUUACCAUAUUUCCACAAUCCAUCCACUCUUCUCUCAAAACCAAACAGGAAACGUCAAUAUAUACACAUAAUGGAUGCCUACUCUGAAAAUAUCUAAUAUUUCCCCUUCAUUACACCAUGCAAAACUAUAAAUAUACAUAAUAAACUAAAAACUAAUAUACACAAUAAAUUAAAGAGUUUCUGUUUCAAAAUCUUCUAACUGAUUUAUUCUCAUCUAGAUUGAUCAUAUGAAACAUAAUAAGAGCAUAAUAAUGUCUAUGCCACAGAUAACUAAUGAAUUAAUAAUUGGAUAUAUGAUUGUGGCAAGUUACAAUCUAUUGAAUCUUAUUCAAACAUAGAGUAGGUGAAAUGACACAUACCUAUUCAGAAUUUUUGCUUCACUUUGCAAUGUAUUUUUUCCAGUCAUUUUCUCAUAUAUAUAGUGGUUAUCCUGAAAUUCGUUCGGAGCCAAAAAUCCCAAAAACCAGCGCCAAAAGACGGUUUCUUCCUCCAUUUUACAAUAUUGUGGAAUUCUAUUUGCUGGGUAUGGACAAAUUUGGUGGGUAUGGACGAGGUUGAAGAGUUAUGAAGGAAGUGGAGAAGUGCUUUACCCCAAUUUUCUUCUAACCCUAACCUUAUCUCUCUCUCCCACUAAUUCUA